rnacentral:tRNA from 1 species
GGGGUGGUAGUUCAGCUGGUUAGAGCACCUGCCUGUCACGCAGGAAGUCGCGGGUUCGAACCCCGUCCACCCCG